GAUGAACGCUGGCGGCGUGCCUAAUACAUGCAAGUCGAGCGAACAGACGAGGAGCUUGCUCCUCUGACGUUAGCGGCGGACGGGUGAGUAACACGUGGAUAACCUACCUAUAAGACUGGGAUAACUUCGGGAAACCGGAGCUAAUACCGGAUAAUAUAUUGAACCGCAUGGUUCAAUAGUGAAAGACGGUUUUGCUGUCCCUUAUAGAUGGAUCCGCGCCGCAUUAGCUAGUUGGUAAGGUAACGGCUUACCAAGGCAACGAUGCGUAGCCGACCGGAGAGGGUGAUCGGCCACACUGGAACGGAGACACGGUCCAGACUCCUACGGGAGGCAGCAGUAGGGAAUCUUCCGCAAUGGGCGAAAGCCGGACGGAGCAACGCCGCGUGAGUGAUGAAGGUCUUCGGAUCGUAAAACUCUGUUAUUAGGGAAGAACAAAUGUGUAAGUAACUAUGCACGUCUUGACGGUACCUAAUCAGAAAGCCACGGCUAACUACGUG
rnacentral:rRNA from 1 species